rnacentral:rRNA from 1 species
GAUGAACGCUGGCGGCGUGCCUAAUACAUGCAAGUCGAGCGAACAGACGAGGAGCUUGCUCCUCUGACGUUAGCGGCGGACGGGUGAGUAACACGUGGAUAACCUACCUAUAAGACUGGGAUAACUUCGGGAAACCGGAGCUAAUACCGGAUAAUAUAUUGAACCGCAUGGUUCCAUAGUGAAAGACGGUUUUGCUGUCUCUUAUAGAUGGAUCCGCGCCGCAUUAGCUAGUUGGUAAGGUAACGGCUUACCAAGGCAACGAUGCGUAGCCGACCUGAGAGGGUGAUCGGCCACACUGGAACUGAGACACGGUCCAGACUCCUACGGGAGGCAGCAGUAGGGAAUCUUCCGCAAUGGGCGAAAGCCUGACGGAGCAACGCCGCGUGAGUGAUGAAGGUCUUCGGAUCGUAAAACUCUGUUAUUAGGGAAGAACAAAUGUGUAAGUAACUAUGCACGUCUUGACGGUACCUAAUCAGAAAGCCACGGCUAACUACGUG